rnacentral:rRNA from 1 species
UACAGGGGGUGCAAACGUUGCUCGGAAUUAUUGGGCGUAAAGCGCGCGUAGGCGGCCACUUAAGUCGGAUGUGAAAGCCCCUGGCUCAACUGGGGAAGUGCACCCGAAACUGAAUGGCUUGAAUGCAAAAGAGGGUCGCGGAAUUCCCGGUGUAGAGGUGAAAUUCGUAGAUAUCGGGAGGAACACCGGUGGCGAAGGCGGCGACCUGGGUUGACAUUGACGCUGAGGCGUGAAAGCGUGGGGAGCGAACAGG